rnacentral:rRNA from 1 species
UGAGGAACAUGACCUUCGGCGGGGGAUAGCCGGCCCAACGGCCGGGUAAUACCGCGUACGACCACUUUGGGACAUCCCUAGGUGGUGAAAGCAGCAAUGCGCCGAUGGAGUGCCUCGCGGCCUAUCAGCUAGUUGGUGGGGUAAUGGCUCACCAAGGCGACGACGGGUAGCUGGUCUGAGAGGACGAUCAGCCACACUGGGACUGAGACACGGUCCAGACUCCUACGGAGCAG